GCACGAAGUUGGAAUUGCUAGUAAUCGUGGAUCAGCAUGCCACGGUGAAUACGUUCCCGGGUCUUGUACACACCGCCCGUCACACCAUGGGAGCCGGUAAUACCCGAAGUCAGUAGUCUAACCGCAAGGAGGACGCUGCCGAAGGUAGGAUUGGCGACUGGGGUGAAGUCGUAACAAGGUAGC
rnacentral:rRNA from 1 species